rnacentral:rRNA from 1 species
UACGUAGGCAGCAAGCGUUGUUCGGAGUUACUGGGCGUAAAGGGUGUGUAGGCGGUUGGAUAAGUGUGGUGUGAAAUCUCCCGGCUUAACUGGGAGGGUGCGCUACAAACUGUCUGACUAGAGUGUGGGAUGGGUAAGUGGAAUUCCUGGUGUAGCGGUGAAAUGCGUAGAUAUUGGGAAGAACACCGGUGGCGAAGGCGGCUCACUGGCUCAUUACUGACGCUCAGGCGCGACAGCGUGGGGAUCAAACAGG